GACGAACGCUGGCGGCGUGCUUAACACAUGCAAGUCGAACGGUGAAGCGCCUUCCUUUUUGGUGGGUGUGGAUGAGUGGCGAACGGGUGAGUAACACGUGAGUAACCUGCCCCCUUCUUCUGGAUAACCGCAUGAAAGUGUGGCUAAUACGGGAUAUUCUGGGUCUGUCGCAUGAUGGGUCUGGGAAAGAUAUUGUUUCGGUGGGGGAUGGGCUCGCGGCCUAUCAGCUUGUUGGUGGGGUGAUGGCCUACCAAGGCGGUGACGGGUAGCCGGCCUGAGAGGGUGGACGGUCACACUGGGACUGAGACACGGCCCAGACUCAUACGGGAGGCAGCAGUGGGGAAUAUUGCACAAUGGGCGCAAGCCUGAUGCAGCGACGCCGCGUGAGGGAUGGAGGCCUGCGGGUUGUGAACCUCUUUCGCCAGUGAAGCAGGCCUGCCUCGUUUGUGGGUGGGUUGACGGUAGCUGGAUAAGAAGCGCCGGCUAACUACGUG
rnacentral:rRNA from 1 species